rnacentral:misc_RNA from 1 species
UUGCGUUUCCUUGCGAGACGCUCUCCUCAAAUGUAUUGGUGCGGCCUGCCGCCCGGUUACACAACGUUCUAGGUUCGUCCAACUCGUUGCCAAACCGGUGCACCUUUUGGUGCUGCACCUAAAGCCCGCCUCGUGCCUUGUGCUCUUGGUUUACUUCAUUUAUUGACCUCAGAUCAGGUAGGAAUACGCGCUGAACUUAA